GAAAUAUGAUGCCCAAGGAAAAGCCGCUAACUUUUUACUUUAAUGGUUAAAUUCCAUUUAUAUUUCG
rnacentral:tRNA from 1 species